rnacentral:rRNA from 1 species
GACGAACGCUGGCGGCGUGCCUAAUACAUGCAAGUUGAGCGCUGAAGGUUGGUACUUGUACCAACUGGAUGAGCAGCGAACGGGUGAGUAACGCGUGGGGAAUCUGCCUUUGAGCGGGGGACAACAUUUGGAAACGAAUGCUAAUACCGCAUAAAAACUUUAAACACAAGUUUUAAGUUUGAAAGAUGCAAUUGCAUCACUCAAAGAUGAUCCCGCGUUGUAUUAGCUAGUUGGUGAGGUAAAGGCUCACCAAGGCGAUGAUACAUAGCCGACCUGAGAGGGGUAUCGGCCACAUUGGGACUGAGACACGGCCCAAACUCCUACGGGAGGCAGCAGUAGGGAAUCUUCGGCAAUGGACGAAAGUCUGACCGAGCAACGCCGCGUGAGUGAAGAAGGUUUUCGGAUCGUAAAACUCUGUUGGUAGAGAAGAACGUUGGUGAGAGUGGAAAGCUCAUCAAGUGACGGUAACUACCCAGAAAGGGACGGCUAACUACGUG